GAUGAACGCUGGCGGCGUGCCUAAUACAUGCAAGUCGAGCGAACAGACGAGGAGCUUGCUCCUCUGACGUUAGCGGCGGACGGGUGAGUAACACGUGGAUAACCUACCUAUAAGACUGGGAUAACUUCGGGAAACCGGAGCUAAUACCGGAUAAUAUAUUGAACCGCAUGGUUCAAUAGUGAAAGACGGUUUUGCUGUCACUUAUAGAUGGAUCCGCGCCGCAUUAGCUAGUUGGUAAGGUAACGGCUUACCAAGGCAACGAUGCGUAGCCGACCUGAGAGGGUGAUCGGCCACACUGGAACCGAGACACGGUCCAGACUCCUACGGGAGGCAGCAGUAGGGAAUCUUCCGCAAUGGGCGAAAGCUUGACGGGGCAACGCCGCGUGAGUGAUGAAGGUCUUCGGAUCGUAAAACUCUGUUAUUAGGGAAGAACAAAUGUGUAAGUAACUAUGCACGUCUUGACGGUACCUAAUCAGAAAGCCACGGCUAACUACGUG
rnacentral:rRNA from 1 species